CACACGACUCUCGGCAACGGAUAUCUCGGCUCUCGCAUCGAUGAAGAAGGUAGCAAAAUGCGAUACCUGGUGUGAAUUGCAGAAUCCCGCGAACCAUCGAGUUUUUGACCGCAAGUUGCGCCCGAGACCUUCUGGUCGAGGGCACGUCUGCCUGGGCGUCACG
rnacentral:rRNA from 1 species